AUAUAAGACGAUGGUAUCCGCAUC
rnacentral:siRNA from 1 species